GAUGAACGCUGGCGGCGUGCCUAACACAUGCAAGUCGAGCGGCAGCGAGGGGUGCUUGCACCCUGUCGGCGAGCGGCGGACGGCUGAGUAACGCGUGGGAACGUGCCCCAAAGUGAGGAAUAACUGCCCGAAAGGGUAGCUAAUACCGCAUAUUAUCUUCGGAUCAAAGGAUUUAUCCGCUUUGGGAGCGGCUCGCGUCGGAUUAGGUAGUUGGUGAGGUAAUGGCUCACCAAGCCGACGAUCCGUAGCUGGUCUGAGAGGAUGACCAGCCAGACUGGAACUGAGACACGGUCCAGACUCCUACGGGAGGCAGCAGUGAGGAAUCUUCCACAAUGGGCGAAAGCCUGAUGGAGCAACGCCGCGUGCAGGACGAAGGCCUUCGGGUUGUAAACUGCUUUUAUAAGUGAGGAAUAUGACGGUAACUUAUGAUUAAGGAUCGGCUAACUACGUG
rnacentral:rRNA from 1 species